GCUCAGGAUGAACGCUGGCGGCAUGCCUUACACAUGCAAGUCGAACGGUAACAGGUCUUCGGAUGCUGACGAGUGGCGAACGGGUGAGUAAUACAUCGGAACGUGCCCAGACGUGGGGGAUAACGAGGCGAAAGCUUUGCUAAUACCGCAUACGAUCUAAGGAUGAAAGCAGGGGACCGCAAGGCCUUGCGCGUUUGGAGCGGCCGAUGGCAGAUUAGGUAGUUGGUGGGAUAAAAGCUUACCAAGCCGACGAUCUGUAGCUGGUCUGAGAGGACGACCAGCCACACUGGGACUGAGACACGGCCCAGACUCCUACGGGAGGCAGCAGUA
rnacentral:rRNA from 1 species